CGAACGACUGCGGCGUGCCUAUACAUAGCAAGUAGAACGCACAGUUUAUUACCGUAGCUUGCUACACCAUAGACUAGUGAGUUGCGAACGGGUGAGUAACGGCGUAGGUAACCUGCCUGGUAGCGGGGGAGUAACUAUUGGAAACGAUAGCUAAUACGCAUAAUAUUAAUUAUUGCAUGAUAAUUAAAUUGAAAGGUAGCAAUUGCACCACUACCAGAUGGACCUGCGUUGUAUUAGCUAGUAGGUGAGGUAACGGCUCACCUAGGCGACGAUACAUAGCCGACCUGAGAGGGUGAUCGGCCACACUGGGACUGAGACACGGCCCAGACUCCUACGGGAGGCAGCAGUAGGGAAUCUUCGGCAAUGGACGAAAGUCUGACCGAGCAACGCCGCGUGAGUGAAGAAGGUUUUCGGAUCGUAAAGCUCUGUUGUAAGAGAAGAACGGGUGUGAGAGUGGAAAAUUCACACUGUGACGGUAUCUUACCAGAAAGGGACGGCUAACUACGUG
rnacentral:rRNA from 1 species